GGAGAGGUACCGAAGCGGUCAAACGGGGCGGACUGUAAAUCCGCUGGCUCAGCCUUCGGAGGUUCGAAUCCUCCCCUCUCCACCA
rnacentral:tRNA from 1 species